rnacentral:ncRNA from 1 species
CCGGGCGCUACUCCAUUCCCAUAGCGCCCGGCACCCAAAAAAAGGAGGAAAGACCGUCGGCCAGCGGUGCGGCAGUGUGGAGACCUGUCGUAAGCCCCCGGGCAUUCGCCCGGCGGGGAGGGGCCCGCGCGGAGGCGCGCGUCUCAUGGCCUGAAUGAUG